rnacentral:rRNA from 1 species
GGACUACCCGGGUAUCUAAUCCUGUUUGCUCCCCACGCUUUCGCGUCUCAGCGUCAAGAUCGGUCCAGAAGGCCGCCUUCGCCACAGGUAUUCCUCCAAAUAUCUACGAAUUUCACCUCUACACUUGGAAUUCCACCUUCCUCUACCGUCUUCUAGCCAGUUAGUUUUGGAUGCACUUCCUCGGUUGAGCCCAGGGAUUUCACACCCAACUUAACAAACCGCCUACACGCGCUUUACGCCCAAUGAUUCCGAACAACGCUAGCACCCUACGUAUUACCGCGGCGGCUGGCAC